CAACCCCUGUGACAUACCAAUUGUUGCCUCGGCGGAUCAGCCCGCUCCCGGUAAAACGGGACGGCCCGCCAGAGGACCCCUAAACUCUGUUUCUAUAUGUAACUUCUGAGUAAAACCAUAAAUAAAUCAAAACUUUCAACAACGGAUCUCUUGGUUCUGGCAUCGAUGAAGAACGCAGCAAAAUGCGAUAAGUAAUGUGAAUUGCAGAAUUCAGUGAAUCAUCGAAUCUUUGAACGCACAUUGCGCCCGCCAGUAUUCUGGCGGGCAUGCCUGUUCGAGCGUCAUUUCAACCCUCAAGCCCAGCUUGGUGUUGGGACUCGCGAGUCAAAUCGCGUUCCCCAAAUUGAUUGGCGGUCACGUCGAGCUUCCAUAGCGUAGUAGUAAAACCCUCGUUACUGGUAAUCGUCGCGGCCACGCCGUUAAACCCCAACUUCUGAAUGUUGACCUCGGAUCRGGWAGGAAUACCCGCU
rnacentral:rRNA from 1 species